UACGGGGGGGGCAAGCGUUUGUUCGGAUUUACUGGGCGUAAAGGGCGCGUAGGCGGUCGUGACAAGUCACUUGUGAAAUCUCCGGGCUUAACUCGGAACGGUCAAGUGAUACUGUCGGACUAGAGUACAGAAGGGGCAACUGGAAUUCUCGGUGUAGCGGUGAAAUGCGUAGAUAUCGAGAGGAACACCUGCGGCGAAGGCGGGUUGCUGGGCUGAUACUGACGUGAGGAGCGAAAGCCAGGGGAGCAAACGGG
rnacentral:rRNA from 1 species